GUCCUGGCUCAGGAUGAACGCUGGCGGCGUGCUUAACACAUGCAAGUCGAACGAAGCACUUAAGAUUGACUCUUCGGAUGACGUCUUUUGUGACUUAGUGGCGGACGGGUGAGUAACGCGUGGGUAACCUGCCUCACACAGGGGGAUAACAGUUAGAAAUGACUGCUAAUACCGCAUAACCCGAUAGGAUCGCAUGAUCCAGACGGAAAAGAUUUAUCGGUGUGAGAUGGACCCGCGU
rnacentral:rRNA from 1 species